rnacentral:rRNA from 1 species
UACGGAGGGGGCUAGCGUUGCUCGGAAUUACUGGGCGUAAAGGGCGCGUAGGCGGAUAUUUAAGUUAGAGGUGAAAGCCCAGGGCUCAACCCUGGAAUAGCCUUUAAUACUGGAUAUCUUGAGUUCGGGAGAGGUGAGUGGAACUCCGAGUGUAGAGGUGAAAUUCGUAGAUAUUCGGAAGAACACCAGUGGCGAAGGCGGCUGACUGGACAUGUAUUGACGCUGAGGUGCGAAAGCGUGGGGAGCAAACAGG